rnacentral:rRNA from 1 species
UACGUAGGGUGCGAGCGUUAAUCGGAAUUACUGGGCGUAAAGCGUGCGCAGGCGGUUUUGUAAGUCUGACGUGAAAUCCCCGGGCUUAACCUGGGAAUUGCGUUGGAGACUGCAAGGCUGGAGUCUGGCAGAGGGGGGGUAGAAUUCCACGUGUAGCAGUGAAAUGCGUAGAGAUGUGGAGGAACACCGAUGGCGAAGGCAGCCCCCUGGGUCAAGACUGACGCUCAUGCACGAAAGCGUGGGGGAGCAAACAGG